AAAAAGCAAAUAACCUUUAGUUGGAAAGUAAAGCUGUCCCAGACCUAACAGACAGGGAUUGAGAGCUGACUGCAGUGAACAUGGUGGAAACUAUUUUAUUAAGAAAAUCCAGCCCUGUACUGUCUUUCAAAUUAAAGGUCAUUGGCCAAUCACAUUUUUCACAAAAUUAGAACAAAAAAAUUUAUAAUUUGUAUGGAAGCACAAAAGACCCAGAAUAGUCAAAGC